AAUAAGAUGCCUGAGAAAAGGGUUAUUUUGAUAGAAUAAAUCAUGUACUGAGUACUCUUAUUA
rnacentral:tRNA from 1 species